rnacentral:rRNA from 1 species
CAGAACGAACGCUGGCGGCGUGCUUAACACAUGCAAGUCGAACGCGAAAGGGACUUCGGUCCUGAGUAAAGUGGCGCACGGGUGAGUAACGCGUAGAUAACCUGUCUUCAUGUCUGGAAUAAUACGCCGAAAGGGGUACUAAUACCGGAUAUUCUUGCUUUUCAUAAGUUAUGCAAGCAAAGGUGGCCUCUGCAUAUGCUACUGCAUGAAGAGGGGUCUGCGUACCAUUAGCUAGUAGGUGGGGUAAUGGCCUACCUAGGCGACGAUGGUUAGCGGGUCUGAGAGGAUGAUCCGCCACACUGGCACUGGAACACGGGCCAGACUCCUACGGGAGGCAGCAGUGAGGAAUAUUGCGCAAUGGGGGAAACCCUGACGCAGCGACGCCGCGUGAGUGAGGAAGGCCUUCGGGUCGUAAAGCUCUGUCAAGAGGAAAGAAGUGUACAAUGGCUAAUACCUAUUGUAUUUGACGGUACCUCUAAAGGAAGCACCGGCUAACUCCGUGCCAGCCGCCGC